AUGUAUAAGUAUAAACGCUUCAAGCGUGAAACCGCGAACGGCUCAUUACAACAGCUAUAAUUUACUUGAUCUUGACAAUCUACUUGGAUAACUGUGGUAAUUCUAGAGCUAAUACAUGCACCAAAGCUUUGUCCAGCGAUGGAGGAGCGCAUUUAUUAGAACAAAACCAUACGGCUUCGGCCGUCCAUUGUUGACUCAGAAUAACUCAGCUGAUCGUACGGUCUUGCACCGACGACGUGUCUUUCAAGUAUCUGCCUUAUCAACUUUCGAUGGUAGUGUAUUUGACUACCAUGGUGGUGACGGGUAACGGAGGAUCAGGGUUCGACUCCGGAGAAGGGGCCUGAGAAAUGGCCACUACGUCUAAGGAUGGCAGCAGGCGCGCAAAUUACCCACUCUCAGAAUUUGGAGGAGGUAGUGACGAGAAAUAACGAGGCUGUUCUCUUCAGAGGCCAGCCAUCGGAAUGGGUGCAAUUUAAACCCUUCAACGAGUAUCUAUGAGAGGGCAAGCCUGGUGCCAGCAGCCGCGGUAAUUCCAGCUCUCAAAAUGCAUAGAAUUAUUGCUGCGGUUAAAAAGCUCGUAGUUGGAUCUGUGCUAGCGCGCCGGUCAAUCUUCGGAUUCGUACUGGUUAGCGUUGGCUUUCCUGCAGUGUUCGGCUGUCGCGCUUUAAUCGGCGUGUGCAGAUCGAUGCUGCAAGUUUACUUUGAACAAAUCAGAGUGCUUCAAACGGGCGUUUCGCUCGAAUGUUCUUGCAUGGAAUAAUAGAAGAGGAUUUCGGUUCCAUUUUAUUGGUUUUAUAGACUGAGAUAAUGGUUAACAGAGACAAACGGGGGCAUUCCUAUUGCUACGUGAGGGGUGAAAUUCUUGGACCGCAGCAAGAGGGACUACAGCGAAAGCAUUUGCCAAGAAUGUCUUCAUUAAUCAAGAACGAAAGUCAGAGGUUCGAAGGCGAUCAGAUACCGCCCUAGUUCUGACCGUAAACGAUGCCAACUAGCGAUCCGCCGAUGGAACACUUGCCAUGGUGGGGAGCUUCCCGGAAACGAAAGUCUUCCGGUUCCGGGGGAAGUAUGGUUGCAAAGCUGAAACUUAAAGGAAUUGACGGAAGGGCACCACCAGGAGUGGAGCCUGCGGCUUAAUUUGACUCAACACGGGGAAACUCACCCGGCCCGGACACCGUGAGGAUUGACAGAUUGAUAGCUUUUUCAUGAUUCGGUGGAUGGUGGUGCAUGGCCGUUCUUAGUUCGUGGAGCGAUUUGUCUGGUUUAUUCCGAUAACGAGCGAGACUCUGGCCUACUAACUAGUCUGGGCAUUGUCACUGUGCCUAGCACUUCUUAGAGGGAUUUUCGGUGUUCAGCCGCACGAAAUUGAGCAAUAACAGGUCUGUGAUGCCCUUAGAUGUCCGGGGCUGCACGCGCGCUACACUGGCAAAAUCAACGUGCCUGUCCUUUGCCGAAAGGCAUUGGUAAACCCGUGAAAAUUUGCCGUGAUUGGGAUCGGAAAUUGCAAUUAUUUUCCGUGAACGAGGAAUUCCAAGUAAGUGCGAGCCAUCAACUCGCGUUGAUUACGUCCCUGCCCUUUGUACACACCGCCCGUCGCUGCCCGGAACUGAGCCAUUUCGAGAAACUUGGGGACAGCUGACUUUGUGGCUCUCGGGUCACCUCGCUGGUGGAAACCAAUUUAAUCGCAGUGGCUUGAACCGGGC
rnacentral:rRNA from 1 species